UCCUAUCCAUUCUACAUAGUCCCACUCUUAAUUGUAUAGCGUCCUUGCAAAUAUAGAAUUGGUAAAAACCAAUUUGACUAACCUUUGUAAUUUUUCUACCAUUUUAGGCUCGAAAGAUUGAAUUCCAACAUUUAUUGACAGUUCUAUUCAUUCCAGCUCUAAUAAUAAGUCCUCAUCCUCCUUUGACACUUCAACCUACUUUAUCCUCAAUUGGGUUGAUAAGUCCUAAUUGUACGCUCUUAUUUCAUGAACUUGAGCCUCCAACUGUAAAAUCUUGACAUCCUUUGAUUCCAAUUGGUACUAUUGUUGCUUCAACUUCUCUUCUAAUUCAUUACUUGUUGAAACUGGUGGGACAAACAUUUGUGAUCGAUCAAUAUUAUCUAAGUUAUCCUCCAAUUUCAUCACUUUUACUUUCAAGGUUCCAAUUUUUGUCCACAACUCUUUUGUUUCAGUCUUAUAUUGGUUAUUUAAUAUUCUCUUUUUUUGUUCCAAUAAUGCUACCUUCUUUUGUUCGAAUAUCAACUUACACUUUGCUUCUUCAUGUUCCAAAUACCAUAUUUUGUAAUUUUGGAAAAGU
rnacentral:lncRNA from 1 species